UACGAAGGGGGCUAGCGUUGCUCGGAAUCACUGGGCGUAAAGCGCACGUAGGCGGCUUUUUAAGUCAGGGGUGAAAUCCUGGAGCUCAACUCCAGAACUGCCUUUGAUACUGGGAAGCUUGAGUCCGGAAGAGGUGAGUGGAACUCCGAGUGUAGAGGUGAAAUUCGUAGAUAUUGGGAAGAACACCGAUGGCGAAGGCAGCCAUCUGGACCGACACUGACGCUGAGGCGCGAAAAGCGUGGGGAGCAAACAGG
rnacentral:rRNA from 1 species